rnacentral:rRNA from 1 species
GUGCCAGCCGCCGCGGUAAUACAGAGGGUGCGAGCGUUAAUCGGAAUUACUGGGCGUAAAGCGCACGUAGGUGGCUAUGUAAGUCGGGUGUGAAAUCCCCGGGCUCAACCUGGGAACUGCAUUCGAGACUGCAUGGCUGGAGUACGGAAGAGGAGGGCGGAAUUCCCGGUGUAGCGGUGAAAUGCGUAGAUAUCGGGAGGAACAUCAGUGGCGAAGGCGGCCCUCUGGUCCAGUACUGACACUCAAGUGCGAAAGCGUGGGGAGCAAACAGGAUUAGAUACCCCGGUAGUCC